CCGAGUCAGGGUUGUCCAAAACAGCCCGACCUCCCAACCCUGUGUCUACCAUACCUUGUCGUUGCUUCGGUGGACCGGUUGACCAACUGGUCUUGACCGCCGGGGCGCACGUGCCCUGGAGAGCGUCCGCCGAUGGCCCAACCAUCAAAACUCUUAUACCGAAAAUUGUCGACUGAAUUAAUUACCAAAAACAAAA
rnacentral:misc_RNA from 1 species